rnacentral:rRNA from 2 species
AAAUUGAAGAGUUUGAUCAUGGCUCAGAUUGAACGCUGGCGGCAGGCCUAACACAUGCAAGUCGAACGGUAACAGGAAGCAGCUUGCUGCUUCGCUGACGAGUGGCGGACGGGUGAGUAAUGUCUGGGAAACUGCCUGAUGGAGGGGGAUAACUACUGGAAACGGUGGCUAAUACCGCAUAACGUCGCAAGACCAAAGAGGGGGACCUUCGGGCCUCUUGCCAUCAGAUGUGCCCAGAUGGGAUUAGCUUGUUGGUGAGGUAACGGCUCACCAAGGCGACGAUCCCUAGCUGGUCUGAGAGGAUGACCAGCCACACUGGAACUGAGACACGGUCCAGACUCCUACGGGAGGCAGCAGUGGGGAAUAUUGCACAAUGGGCGCAAGCCUGAUGCAGCCAUGCCGCGUGUAUGAAGAAGGCCUUCGGGUUGUAAAGUACUUUCAGCGGGGAGGAAGGUGUUGUGGUUAAUAACCGCAGCAAUUGACGUUACCCGCAGAAGAAGCACCGGCUAACUCCGUGCCAGCAGCCGCGGUAAUACGGAGGGUGCAAGCGUUAAUCGGAAUUACUGGGCGUAAAGCGCACGCAGGCGGUCUGUCAAGUCGGAUGUGAAAUCCCCGGGCUCAACCUGGGAACUGCAUUCGAAACUGGCAGGCUUGAGUCUUGUAGAGGGGGGUAGAAUUCCAGGUGUAGCGGUGAAAUGCGUAGAGAUCUGGAGGAAUACCGGUGGCGAAGGCGGCCCCCUGGACAAAGACUGACGCUCAGGUGCGAAAGCGUGGGGAGCAAACAGGAUUAGAUACCCUGGUAGUCCACGCCGUAAACGAUGUCUACUUGGAGGUUGUGCCCUUGAGGCGUGGCUUCCGGAGCUAACGCGUUAAGUAGACCGCCUGGGGAGUACGGCCGCAAGGUUAAAACUCAAAUGAAUUGACGGGGGCCCGCACAAGCGGUGGAGCAUGUGGUUUAAUUCGAUGCAACGCGAAGAACCUUACCUGGUCUUGACAUCCACGGAAGAAUUUCAGAGAUGGAUUUGUGCCUUCGGGAACCGUGAGACAGGUGCUGCAUGGCUGUCGUCAGCUCGUGUUGUGAAAUGUUGGGUUAAGUCCCGCAACGAGCGCAACCCUUAUCCUUUGUUGCCAGCGGUUAGGCCGGGAACUCAAAGGAGACUGCCAGUGAUAAACUGGAGGAAGGUGGGGAUGACGUCAAGUCAUCAUGGCCCUUACGACCAGGGCUACACACGUGCUACAAUGGCGCAUACAAAGAGAAGCGACCUCGCGAGAGCAAGCGGACCUCAUAAAGUGCGUCGUAGUCCGGAUUGGAGUCUGCAACUCGACUCCAUGAAGUCGGAAUCGCUAGUAAUCGUGGAUCAGAAUGCCACGGUGAAUACGUUCCCGGGCCUUGUACACACCGCCCGUCACACCAUGGGAGUGGGUUGCAAAAGAAGUAGGUAGCUUAACCUUCGGGAGGGCGCUUACCACUUUGUGAUUCAUGACUGGGGUGAAGUCGUAACAAGGUAACCGUAGGGGAACCUGCGGUUGGAUCACCUCCUUACCUUAAAGAA